AAUUGUCACUAGAUUUGAUUUUACAUCCAACUUUUGUUUCUCCAGGUCACUUUUAAACUAUAAAAUUUGUUAUAAAGUACUUUAUGCACCAUGUGCAGGCAGUUCUGUCAUGUUUUUAAAUUUGUGUUUGAUAAAUGGUAUCACUUCCAUUUUACAUUUAUGCAAACCCCUUGUGUCUUAAGAUUUUCUGUAAUUUUAUAACAGGCAUGAGAGAGCUGUUUGUGUAAAAUGAGUUCAGAACUGUAUUUUAAUCCUGUUUGCUAAAAUUCAUUUGAUUUUGUCUUUAUAAAUUUGAAGGGGGAACUAAUUUUUCUUUCAUCAGUGCACUCAUUCUAUGAUGUCUACCCUGGGAUCUGCUCCCUCCCCCAGUCCUUCUCAAUACUUCAGUUUGCUUCUUCAGGGCUGCUGCCCUCAAAGUGAAACAGUGUAUAGUCUGUCAGGUUUUGGAGGGGAAACUUUUAUGGUCAAGUUGGACAGAAGUUAUCAUGCUAGAUAUCACUGGAAACUUUUGGCUGUGUAUUGAGCUUACUGCAUGAGAAAAGGUUAAUAUCCUCGAAGGUAUAGCAAAGGGAAUAAAAUUACCUUCUGCUUGAGGUAAAUUUGAAAGAAGAACAAAGGAAAAAUAGAAAUUUCUUUAGCAGAAUAUACAUAAUUCACAGUUUUAUUGAUUCAUUUAUUUCAAAGGUGAGACUUAUA